CAGAUUCUCGCCGCUCGCCGGUUCAUCUUUCGUCUUCCUUUCUUAUGCAUUUUGUUGAGGGAUCUGAGGCUGUGUUUUCUGUUUUUGAUUUUCAUAUUUUUUUUCUGUGUUUUGCCCGAUGAUGUACAUCACAAACUUGUUGAACGGUUGCAAAUGUUUGCUUUAGUUCACGCUAGCCUUCACUCACUAUCACUUUCGCCACCUCUACCACCACCACUACCUCCUCCUCCUCCUCAUUCUCUUCUUUAUUCAUACAUACAUAUAUAUAUAUAUAUACACACACAUAUAAGCGUUGUAGUGGUCUGUGAAGGCUUUCGAUGGACGCCAUUUGCGCUAAAACCGUGGAUGAUGGUUCGAAGCUAUGAGAUCUGAGGG
rnacentral:misc_RNA from 1 species